rnacentral:ncRNA from 1 species
CGAAAGAUGACGACAAGGACUAGUAGUCAACGAACACGUUUUCAGAGAGUUAACGGGUGGUGGAAGUUAACCGUGGAAUUUGAUGAACUCGCCUUGGAAUUGUAAAGAGGAACAGAGUAUCACAAUAUCUCAUUACUCUUUAACGAAUAACCUACGUUACAGGUCAAAGAGAGCGGCUAUUUGCUUUUUCACCGCUAACGUGGGUGGUACCGCGGGAAGGAUUUCAACCUCUCGUCCCUGUU